UACGGAGGGGGUUAGCGUUGUUCGGAAUUACUGGGCGUAAAGCGCACGUAGGCGGACUAUUAAGUCAGGGGUGAAAUCCCGGGGCUCAACCCCGGAACUGCCCUUGAUACUGGCAGUCUAGAGUUCGAGAGAGGUGAGCGGAAUUCCGAGUGUAGAGGUGAAAUUCGUAGAUAUUCGGAGGAACACCAGUUGCGAAGGCGGCUCACUGGCUCGAUUCUUACUCUGAGGUGCCAAAGUGUGGGGAGUAAACAGG
rnacentral:rRNA from 1 species